ACACUGCGAAAUUCCUCCCUUCCAUAACCGAGUGGCCAUCCCAAGUCUUGCUCCCACCGAGUACGUGCAGAUGUCCGUUCUGUAAGACUAUGCGAUGCAAGGACACAAACGGGAAUGACCGAGGCCGGCUCUGCUCGUGACCACGUCUCUCGCCUCCACCGUGCGCCCAUACACAGGGUUGGAGAAAGGAGCCCAAAGAGUUGCCUCUGGCCUCCCACCUCGGAUGUGCACCUGAGCUGCCCACCCCUCGCCCACAUCCACCAGGCACAGGGCACCAGGUGUCUUCAACCAGCAGGAACUAUCGCCUGUUCAUAAAAUUGUUUUCUCUGCGUCAAGACUAUCACACCCCCUGAACCCCUUGGCUCACUUGGCUAAGGACCAGCCUUCAGAAGGAAAGGAAAACAACUCUAUCUCAGCCUUUGUGGCCAGAACUAAAGAAGUGCUAAUGUUCUCUCUACAUUCUUAUCAAAGGGAAGUCAUUUUCCAGGAGGAGAAACAAUGGGAAAAAGGGAGCGGGAUUGUAUGUCUCUAUUUACCUACCCACCUGGAGGGUCUAUGAGGACCAGGAAGGAUUGAGUUUUGUGUCGCUAUAUCCCAGCAUUUGUGCUGCAACUUACACAAGUAAUUGAUCCAUGAGUGGGUGUUGGAGGGAUAAAGAAAUGAAAUCGAAUUAAGACAACUACUUGGUAUUUGUUGUACUGGUGGAUAUGCUAUAAGGAGUUUUCUUUCUCUUCCAAACUGUUUGUAAUGUUCAUUCAGCAUUAUCAAGUUAUCCUCAGCUGGACUAAGACCUGGAGAAAAGACUCAAACACGUAAAGGGGAAUUGAAAAGAAUGGUUCCCAUGUCCCAGAGCAGGAGCUGAAAAUGCCAAAAACAUAUUUGUCUGGCUUUGGUAUGGUCAUUCCUCCAUUACUGAGCAUGGUGUAAAAUAAAAGAGCUUGGUCAUGGAAAUUGCAAUAGAAAAUAAAACCCAGGGCCUCCCUGGUGGCGCAACGGUUAAGGUGCAACCUAUGAAGCAAUCCGCAGCCACUAUAGCACAAGUUCGAUUCCCAGCCAGCCAGGGAGCGACCCACAAGGCGCAGCAGACCUCUCCUGUCUCGCCUGCUGCUCCCCUCAGCAGUGUACUUUGGUCAAUCUGCCUGUUCUGUUCCCCACUCUGUCUCUGGUGAAUCCUCUCACCCCCUACACCUCUGGCCUGUACCCCAGAUCUUGCAUGCAUAAAUAAAUAAAUCUUAAAAAAAAAUAAAACCCACUAUUUUCUGAGAAUGUCUGCAUCUUCAUCUGUAAAUUGCCAAAUUCUGUUUACUUGUGGAUCCUCACUUUGACUGCUCUCCAGUGAUUGACCAAUUCCUCCCCACUGACACAUUUUCUAAAGUUUUAGUGACCACCCCAACUCCCACUGUCUACUCCCCAACAUUUCAGAAAACUCUGUCAUAUAGCCUAGAUUACUAAAGUAGACCCCAAUUCUUUAUAAUUCCUUAAUGUCCUUAAGAAUUUCUUUAAAGAUUCCAAAGAGAUACAUUUAAUAACCCAUCAUGAGAGUGUUAUUAAUUCUAUUUCAUUCUACCCUUCUGCCAUUAGAUCAGGUGUAUGUGGCCCAGACACCAGGCUCAGAACUGGCCAGAUGGGGGUGGGGGGACAGAGAAGGGGACAGAUAAAUACUAUAUAGAGCAAAUGCAUAGAUUAUAUUUGAAACAUUCCAAAUGACCUCUGUCAACUUUUAUACCUAAAAUGAUAAGCCAGGAAGUCAAACUGAGUGAUAGACAGAACUAGGAGUUCAAAACUGGGCUCAAGGCCUAAGUCUGACCCUAAGUUUUUACAUAAGAUACUUUAUCUACCUCAGUCUAUAAGACAUGUUUUGUAGAAAGGAGAAUGGUACGUUAACUAGAUUAUGUGUAGGAUUUUUAAAUCACUGGGUUUUU